GGUGUCAAUUUCGUUGAGUAUUUGGAUGUAGACCGAGAAAAACAGAAAUGGACUCAUGAGGAUGUAAGAAUGCUCUUUAACAAGAAGUAUAGUGAAGCAAAAGGUGUGACUGGUUCUCGC